AUCAAUUACAAUUUCUCAGCCGUUUUGCUAAAUUGAUACA
rnacentral:sRNA from 1 species